rnacentral:sRNA from 1 species
AUGUACCACUCGUACCCGGUUCCUGUGCUUCGUCCGCACCCACCUGACGACUGCUCGCUACGUUUUGUUGGCC